rnacentral:rRNA from 1 species
AGAGUUUGAUCCUGGCUCAGGAUGAACGCUGGCGGCGUGCUUAACACAUGCAAGUCGAACGGGAUCCAUCAAGCUUGCUUGGUGGUGAGAGUGGCGAACGGGUGAGUAAUGCGUGACCGACCUGCCCCAUACACCGGAAUAGCUCCUGGAAACGGGUGGUAAUGCCGGAUGUUCCAGUUGAUCGCAUGGUCUUCUGGGAAAGCUUUCGCGGUAUGGGAUGGGGUCGCGUCCUAUCAGCUUGACGGCGGGGUAACGGCCCACCGUGGCUUCGACGGGUAGCCGGCCUGAGAGGGCGACCGGCCACAUUGGGACUGAGAUACGGCCCAGACUCCUACGGGAGGCAGCAGUGGGGAAUAUUGCACAAUGGGCGCAAGCCUGAUGCAGCGACGCCGCGUGAGGGAUGGAGGCCUUCGGGUUGUAAACCUCUUUUAUCGGGGAGCAAGCGUGAGUGAGUUUACCCGUUGAAUAAGCACCGGCUAACUACCUGCCAGCAGCCGCGGUAAUACGUAGGGUGCAAGCGUUAUCCGGAAUUAUUGGGCGUAAAGGG